rnacentral:tRNA from 1 species
AUUGCCUUAGUUUAUAUAUAAAAUAUUGUAUUGUGAUUUCAAAGAAUAUAGGCGAUA